CACACUAUCAUUAACUGAAUCCAUAGGUUAAUGAGGCGAACCGGGGGAACUGAAACAUCUAAGUACCCCGAGGAAAAGAAAUCAACCGAGAUUCCCCCAGUAGCGGCGAGCGAACGGGGAGGAGCCCAGAGCCUGAAUCAGUGUGUGUGUUAGUGGAAGCGUCUGGAAAGGCGCGCGAUACAGGGUGACAGCCCCGUACACAAAAAUGCACAUGCUGUGAGCUCGAUGAGUAGGGCGGGACACGUGGUAUCCUGUCUGAAUAUGGGGGGACCAUCCUCCAAGGCUAAAUACUCCUGACUGACCGAUAGUGAACCAGUACCGUGAGGGAAAGGCGAAAAGAACCCCGGCGAGGGGAGUGAAAAAGAACCUGAAACCGUGUACGUACAAGCAGUGGGAGCCUCUUUUAUGGGGUGACUGCGUACCUUUUGUAUAAUGGGUCAGCGACUUAUAUUCUGUAGCAAGGUUAACCGAAUAGGGGAGCCGAAGGGAAACCGAGUCUUAACUGGGCGUUAAGUUGCAGGGUAUAGACCCGAAACCCGGUGAUCUAGCCAUGGGCAGGUUGAAGGUUGGGUAACACUAACUGGAGGACCGAACCGACUAAUGUUGAAAAAUUAGCGGAUGACUUGUGGCUGGGGGUGAAAGGCCAAUCAAACCGGGAGAUAGCUGGUUCUCCCCGAAAGCUAUUUAGGUAGCGCCUCGUGAAUUCAUCUCCGGGGGUAGAGCACUGUUUCGGCAAGGGGGUCAUCCCGACUUACCAACCCGAUGCAAACUGCGAAUACCGGAGAAUGUUAUCACGGGAGACACACGGCGGGUGCUAACGUCCGUCGUGAAGAGGGAAACAACCCAGACCGCCAGCUAAGGUCCCAAAGUCAUGGUUAAGUGGGAAACGAUGUGGGAAGGCCCAGACAGCCAGGAUGUUGGCUUAGAAGCAGCCAUCAUUUAAAGAAAGCGUAAUAGCUCACUGGUCGAGUCGGCCUGCGCGGAAGAUGUAACGGGGCUAAACCAUGCACCGAAGCUGCGGCAGCGACACUAUGUGUUGUUGGGUAGGGGAGCGUUCUGUAAGCCUGUGAAGGUGUACUGUGAGGUAUGCUGGAGGUAUCAGAAGUGCGAAUGCUGACAUAAGUAACGAUAAAGCGGGUGAAAAGCCCGCUCGCCGGAAGACCAAGGGUUCCUGUCCAACGUUAAUCGGGGCAGGGUGAGUCGACCCCUAAGGCGAGGCCGAAAGGCGUAGUCGAUGGGAAACAGGUUAAUAUUCCUGUACUUGGUGUUACUGCGAAGGGGGGACGGAGAAGGCUAUGUUGGCCGGGCGACGGUUGUCCCGGUUUAAGCGUGUAGGCUGGUUUUCCAGGCAAAUCCGGAAAAUCAAGGCUGAGGCGUGAUGACGAGGCACUACGGUGCUGAAGCAACAAAUGCCCUGCUUCCAGGAAAAGCCUCUAAGCAUCAGGUAACAUCAAAUCGUACCCCAAACCGACACAGGUGGUCAGGUAGAGAAUACCAAGGCGCUUGAGAGAACUCGGGUGAAGGAACUAGGCAAAAUGGUGCCGUAACUUCGGGAGAAGGCACGCUGAUAUGUAGGUGAAGUCCCUUGCGGAUGGAGCUGAAAUCAGUCGAAGAUACCAGCUGGCUGCAACUGUUUAUUAAAAACACAGCACUGUGCAAACACGAAAGUGGACGUAUACGGUGUGACGCCUGCCCGGUGCCGGAAGGUUAAUUGAUGGGGUCAGCGCAAGCGAAGCUCUUGAUCGAAGCCCCGGUAAACGGCGGCCGUAACUAUAACGGUCCUAAGGUAGCGAAAUUCCUUGUCGGGUAAGUUCCGACCUGCACGAAUGGCGUAAUGAUGGCCAGGCUGUCUCCACCCGAGACUCAGUGAAAUUGAACUCGCUGUGAAGAUGCAGUGUACCCGCGGCAAGACGGAAAGACCCCGUGAACCUUUACUAUAGCUUGACACUGAACAUUGAGCCUUGAUGUGUAGGAUAGGUGGGAGGCUUUGAAGUGUGGACGCCAGUCUGCAUGGAGCCGACCUUGAAAUACCACCCUUUAAUGUUUGAUGUUCUAACGU
rnacentral:rRNA from 1 species